GCCCCUUUAGCUCAGUUGGUAGAGCGCGCCACUCGUAUACUCUAGAGCACAAUGCCUUACGUAACAAUGCUUACGUAAUGGUGAGGUCGGUUGUUCAAAUCAGCCAAGAGGCA